ACCCCACCCCUUGAGUGCUAUUUUUGUGACUUUUGGCCUUGAGUGCUAGUUUGGGAACAAAAACUUGAUUUAGUGCUAUUUUGGUCUUUUUCUCUAUAUACAAUCCAAAUUUCUUUUUAUAGUGCGGGUCAAAAUCUAGUUAAAUUUUAAAUUAGAAAAAGAUGGACCAUGACAAUGCCACCUGCUCCUCUGUAAAUCAUAUGUCUUCCUACUAUAUAUGAUUGUUAUCUUUUACCUUUGGAAAAAAUAACAGUUCAAAUUGAAAUGUAGUAUUUUAUUUUAUACUAUUCGAUUUGAGAACAAUAGAAUAUAAAUGAAUCUUUAGAGUCUUUUUCUUAAUCUAUUAAAAUCAUAUUUAGACUUCAUGUGUUAUAUUUCAAUUCUGGACAACCAAAUAUAGGUUCGUAUAAAUCAUUUGACAGAUUAUCAAUGACAUUAUGCACUACACAUGUACCUUUAAUUUAUGACAUUCUUUAUCCCAUUAUUUUUCUUUGAUGAAAUUUAUUUUUAAAUAAAGAUAAAACAUUUAUAAACUUUCUUAGAUAUAUACAUUUUAUUUUUAAUAUAUAUUUAUAAAAAAAUUAUGUCAUAUCUGCUUACAUUAUUACAAGUAUAAGAUUGGGUGUUUGUAUUUAUUUAUGUUUUUAAAUAUAUAACUACAUACGAAAAUAAAUAAAAAACCCUAUGAUCUAAUGUAUUUUCAUGAAGUAUAUUUAUUAAUCCACCUGAUUAACUUCCCCUUAUAUGAAAUAAAAACAAUAUAUGUCAUUUUUUAAAUUGUAUUUAAAAUAUAUAUACUGAAAAUCUAAAAACAAAUCAUCCUGGAUUUUCUAUAGUUUAGUACAUUUUUUAUAACUCCCAUAUCUUCUUUGUUUAGAUCAAAUAUAUAUCAUUAAAUCUUAAUAUUAAGAAAAUAUUUCUAAACUAUGAAAUCUUAAACACAGUGAUCUUAUAUCAUUUAAUAAAAAAACUGAUUGGAUCAAAUAUCUUAGUAUUAAACAGUUGUACACGAAUAAUUAUUUAAAAAUAUAUUAAUAUUUAUUCAAAAUAGUAAUAAUAAUUAAAUUAAAGUCUCAAAAAAUUAAAAAUACAGAUGAAAAUAUUUCAAUACAAUAUAGAUUACAUCCAAAGCUAUGUUUUUCGUUUAUAUCUCAAAUAAUUAUAUUUCGUUUAAUUACAUCCACACAUAAAUAAAUUAUUUAUGAGAAUAUGUAUUUUUAACAUAAAAUAUAAAAUAUCUGAAAUUAAUACAAUACAAAUUAAACUAGAUUUUACAACAUGUUUUAGUAUUUUCCAAUUUAUAAUCCAUAUUAUAAUUUAUUAAACCCUUGAAUAGAUUUUCUAAAGUCAAGUACAUUUGGCAUUAAAGAAUAAGAUUUUCAAUUUUACUCAUUAAUUUAAUGUCAUAUUUUUAAUCCUUUACAAUUAUAAUAAAACUAAGAAACUACGACAACAUAUUAUUUCUUAGAUAAAAUUUAAAUAUGCGCCUUAUAUAAAAUUUAAGUCCGUUAAUGGUGCGGAUAAGAAUCUAGUUAUAUUUUUUUUUUCUGUCACCGAAUCUACUUAUAUUUAUUGCAAAGAAUAUUGUUAUUCAUAAUGCAAGAUUUUCAUGAAAUAGUAUUACAACAAUAGUCAAUUACAUUUAAGGUAUAUAUAUAUCUUACUUCUAUUAAAGUAAAUUUACAAGUAUAAAACUGGAGAGAACCAUUUGCUCUAAACCCAAAAAAAACAUAUAACUUUAUCUUCAUCAAGCUAGGAGCUACAAAGACAAUCAUGUCAACAGAAAAGAUUCAGUUUACAUCUCUACUCUUGAUUUUCUUAAUUGCUUCCUAUCAUUUUUCUCAAUCAUUUGCUGCUGGAUGUAAGUACCAAGGCUAUUGUAAAACUGAUGACGACUGCAUAAAAAUAUGCGUAGGUCAUGAGAUAGAUCCAUCAUUUAUGAUUUGUAUUUUAAGUGAUCCAAAAAAAAACAAAUGUUGUUGUCUUACUCGUCAAUGAUAUAUCAAUAUUAUCUAUGGCUACCCGUUAUAAAAUUUAAAACUAAUAAAAAAUAAAGAUAUUUAUAAAAAUACCCAAUUUAAAUUA